UCACAGCACAGUCAUUGCCGUUAUCAUGAUUGUAGCAUGAAGUGUCUCUUUUCAAAAUCCAUUUCAACCAUUCACAAAUGACCUGGGACUUUGAAGUUAUGAGGCGGUAUCAAGUCUCCAGUGAAAACAUUGCGCUGGCUAUAACAGUCAGAAUUCAAGCUGCGCCGUGGGUCUGGAUGGUUUCGUGCUUGUUGAAACUUGUCAGCUGACAAUGUGGUCGUUCAAAUUUUGUGUCACAUCAAAGUGUCAAAUAGCAAAACAUUAUGCCACGUUACUAUACAAGAAACAAUAUUGGCUAUCUUACCUCACACAAAUUAAACAGGCUGUAUUCCAAAGCAAUGCUAGCCAGUGUUUCCUAAAUUGUGUCAAAUAACUUGGCCCUGUGUGUACAAGCAUACAGUACAUUAAUGGGGCAAACAUGUGUGUGGAUAGUCAAGAGUGAUUUAAUAGGCCUCAAUAUGUCAAAUUUAUAUCUGAAUUUGUGUAUUUAUCCACAUGGCCUCUCUGUAGUGUGAAUGAUUGUAUGUAUGUUUCUUGGUAUAAAUGUCUUGUUUGUAAAUGUGAAUGUUACAUGCUGCUAGGGAAAUGUCCCCAUGGGGAUAAUGAAGUAUGCUAUAUAUAUAUAUGUGUGUGUGUGUGUAUAUGUAUGUAUGUUACAAUCAGUAUUUAUUGUAUGUUGCAAAUAUACAAGAGUAACUUGGAAUUUUUGUACAAUGAAAACUUUUUUUUUUUUUUUUUUUUAUGUGAAUUUGGCCUUAACAAGCUAAUAUAGAGAUACUGCUACUACUGACCAAAAAAAAAAAUCACAAUUUAUACAGCCAAUUUAUGAGCAAUUAUUUGCUGUCUGAAAAUUUGGAAUAACUAUCAAUGUGUAUACCCUGAAAUAUAAAUUGCUAAACAAACUAAUUAUUUGUGGGAAAGCGUUGAUUGGUUCACUGAUAUGCACUGAAAUAGUGCUGGAUCAUAAGCAUUCAGAAGUAACACUGCUGUCUUUCUGAUUGUAGACUGAAGUUCCUUUGAACCAAGCCACUCGUGAGGUUGGGGAACCAUGAACGGAGAAUAGAAGAAAGAGAUCCCACCCACCUGAGAGAUGACCUAUCAUGGUCAGGCUCCCCCCCAUUCCCUGCUGACUUAUAAAUCUUUAUGAGCUUGAUCAUGUGAGUGAGUGUGUGUGCGUGUGUGCGUGUGUGUGUGUGUGUGUGUGUUUAUCUGCACAGUGGGCUGGAUGCUAAUGAGUGCAGGCCGGUCUCCUGGCUCGGGUGGAGGCUGAGAGAGAGAGAGAGAGAGAAACCAAAAGAAGAGCGAAUAUGUGGUCACUGUAAGACAGGAGAGGUGGACACAGAUGCACUUCCUCCUUACUUGCACAAAAUAUUUACAAAUUAGAAAAAACUUUUCCAAAAUUAUCCCAAAUUAUAAAUAAUUUUAAUUUCAUCUCUAAAGAAGAACAGUGUGCAAUUCUUCUUGGGGAAGGAACAACAGCCCCAAUUGCGGCACAGUUCAUUUCAGCCUGUCAUAACCUGAGGGACAGUGAGUGACCACCCACCCCAUAUAAACAUGUACAUAUUUAUUGAUUUACUUAUGCUGUUAUUGUUUUUUUUAAGCAUAUUUUUAUUCAAAAGAAAGGCAUCAGCAUACAGUUUUAGAGCGUAAUUUUUUCCCCCCAUCUUUUUCCCCCAGAACAGUCCUGAUACUGUCAACAUAACAAGGAUAAAGAAAAGUAGAAAUUAUAUAGAAACAAUAAUAACUAGAAACUUAAAUAAUGGAUAAAAAUAAUUAAGUAAAAUAUACAGACAGAAAAUAAAUAAAAAAUAUAAAAUAUGUGGAGGACAUUUGUCAAUGGACUAUGCUCCCUAGAGGAGCAAAGGGCUUAAGAAGAAGAUGAGAUAUAUAUAUAUAUAUAUAUAUAUAUAUAAUUGCUAAGACAUGACAAGGAUGAUGCUGUUAUUGUUAUAUGUUGUUACAUUUAUCAUUAUUAUUUUGCAUAUUAUAUAUAUGUAUGCUUUGGCAAUAAUUAUAUUUGCAUUUCAUGCUAGUAAAGCAACUUGAAUUGAAUUGAAUUAAAUUGAGAGAGAGAAAGGCCAAGAGCUGAGCCCAAAGAACAGCCCUCUCACCUGUCCUGAGGCUCAGUUCACUAACCCCCACCAACGCCAUGCAGCCUCAGUACAGCUCAGUAAAAGGGGGGGGGGGGAGGUUGUUUAGAAGACUCUUUUUAUCAGUGGUAUUUCAAAGAAGGAAGAUCGGCAGCUUUAUUUGUGAAAAGCAAACCCCCCAGAGGACCCUGUACCUAAAACAUGCAGUAAUUGCACAGCACAUAUAAUGUACAGUAUUGUAAUGAAAUGGUACAUUUUGUGUGAACAUAUAUAUCUGUGCAGUAGUGUGUGUGUGUGUUUUCUUUCUCUGUCUUUUUUUUUUUUGUUUGUUUUUUGCCGUUUUCUCCACAAUUUAGUCGUUGUUGACAGGGAGGAACUGGCUAUGACACCAUGCUGCCCAGGACUCUGAAAGCAUGAAAGUCCCUACUCUGAUAGAUAAAAGACUAAACAAUUAUUUCUGAUUUCAAGCUUGUUUAAGACUAAGUGGUCACCAUGGUGCUUAUUUAGUAUUCAUGCUAUAUGGCUAGACACAGCCAGUCAUUUACUUUGUUAUAUCAAUAUACACAGCCAGUCAUUUACUUAGUUAAAUCUCACAAUAUGCUUAUGUAUUAACCAUGUACCAUUCAUGUAUAGAAUUAUGUAUGUUAUUGUUAAGACACUUUUUGCUUAUAAAAGCAGGGACCGCCCCUGCUUUCUUCAGUUUGGGCUUAUCCAUGUUGUGGGUAGGUGCUGGAUUCUUUCUGCAGGAAUAAAUCCUAUUUCUUAUAUGA